UUAAAACUUUCAACAACGGAUCUCUUGGUUCUGGCAUCGAUGAAGAACGCAGCGAAAUGCGAUAAGUAAUGUGAAUUGCAGAAUUCAGUGAAUCAUCGAAUCUUUGAACGCACAUUGCGCCCCUUGGUAUUCCGGGGGGCAUGCCUGUUCGAGCGUCAUUGCACCACUCAAGCUCGGCUUGGUAUUGGGCCU
rnacentral:rRNA from 1 species